GACGAACCGUGCGAACGUUGUUCGGAUUCACUGGGCUUAAAGGGCGCGUAGGCGGGCGGUCAAGUCAGGGUGAAAUCUUUCGGCUCAACCGGAAAAGUGCCUUUGAUACUGGCCGUCUCGAGGGAGGUAGGGGCAUGCGGAACUUCCGGUGGAGCGGUGAAAUGCGUAGAUAUCGGAAGGAACGCCGGUGGCGAAAGCGGCGUGCUGGACCUCUUCUGACGCUGAGGCGCGAAAGCCAGGGAGCAAGCGGG
rnacentral:rRNA from 1 species